GGCGGGGGGGCGGAAGCCGGAGCCCGGGCUCGCGGGCCCCCCCGGGCGGGCGCAUCGAGGGGCGGGGUCCUUCUCCGCGGCCUGGCACCGAGGGUCACAAGGACCCAGCAACCCCGUCGGGCGCGGAAAGGCAGCCCCGGCCGCGGCGGAGGCGGGCGGCGCUUGGGCUUCCGGGGCACACGGGCGCCUCCUGGGCCUCGCCACUUCCUGCGGGACCGCGCCCAUCGCGCCGAGGCUGCGGCGCCGGGAGUCCACGGGGCACCGCUCCAGGCCCAAGGCGGCUCGGGGAGUCGCGACGUCCACUCACCUCGGUGCCAGAGUGACCCAGAAGUAAACGCAGGACUGUGCUGUACAUGCCCACGCCCUGAGGGAGGUGGCGCAGGCCCCACACACAUGUGGAACUCCUGUGAACCCCCCCCCCAUAGACAAGGGCCUCCCAGGACACGCUCCUCUAUGGACCGCUAGCACCACAUACAUGGACACACAUGGACACUAGCACCGCUCUCCCAUCCAAGGUCCCCACGUAAGCAUGAGCCUUCUGACAGCCCCACGUGCACGAGCGCGCAUGCACAGCCACCAACAAGACGGGAAGUGAAAGUGGAGAUGGCUCCUGGUGCCCAGUGCCUUUCCGCCUGCUUCCGGCCCCUACACCUCUGUGCUCUUGGAGCUGGACCUAGAGGCAGGAUAGGGUCGGUGGCUCAGGGGCUCCCACAGGCCCAGGCCUGCCCCAGCCCAGCCCCUCCCCUCCCUACCGUAGCUUCUCCCUCAGCAUCUUGUACUUCUCCUCCAGAACCUUGUUUUUCACCGACUGGGGGACAUCGGGCACAAACCACGAGGCGAUGAGUUUGAUGCACAAGGCGACGUGCUGGGCGGGGGCAGCAAGGUCAGGCUGAGGGAGGCCCAGGAGAAGGCUGAAGAGACGGUCCCCCCUGAGACCACCCCCAGCUCUGCCCACCUCAAAGAGGAUGACAAAGGCCAGGCGGAUGGCCAGGAGGAACCAGAACUGUGCAGUGAGGUUGUACUCCUCAUCUCGGUAGUCCCGGUACCUGGGAGGGGGAACACGUUAGGUCAGAGGUCAGGAGCUCAGAGGAUAUGAACGGGUUGGGGGGUUCCGAACCUGCACACAGUCACGUUUUCGGGGCCCUGAAUCUUCUUGGGGUCCUGGAAGUCCUUCGUGUGGAAGACAGAGAGGCUGUGGUUGACGUAGCCAGUGAGGCAGCUGGGGAAGAGAGAGGAGGGUGGGCCCACGGUGCCUCAGCCCCAGGGAUGCUGCGCAGGAGCCACUGUGUAUCUCUAGGGGUAGUCGGGGGUGGGGCACAACCCAGCCUUCUCAGUUUCCCCACACAUGGCCACUGGGGGCCAGGGGAAGCCAUGGGGCCUCAGGGUGCCACUGGCUACAGGGCUAAAGGGCACAUCCCUCGUCUGUAACCCAGUGGCCCUGGGGACCCCAAGGAGCUGGACCUAGCUCUGCUCUGCCCACCUCCCAGGGCCCAGAGCAGGGUCCAAGUUAGGAGAGGAGCAGUUCUAGCUGAGCCUCAGUCUCCCAUGGAGUCCACUUGCUUGUCCUGGGCUCCAGCAGGGUCUGUGGGUUGGAAGGGCAGGGCAGGAAGUACCCCCAGUCUACCCCACUGCACCGGGGCGGCCCCAACAGCAUCCAGCUCCUCUCAGGAGAGAGGGCCUGGACUCUCGGGCUUAGCUGUGGUGGGCAGCUUCUCAGGGGCCUUACUCGACUUUUCGGUGGGGCUCCUUUUGGCAUGGGCUGUCACGGUACUUGUAGAUCACUCGUGGGAUGAACUCGGAGGUGAAGGCGAUGACCAUCCCAUUGGCAAUGACUGCCAGCACGCCGAUGGUCUCCAGUACCUGCAGCCAUGUCCCUGGGCCACAGUGGUGGGGCAAGCGUUGUAUCCUCUCAAUCCCUGACCAACAGGUCCAGUCUCAGCCCACAGCACCCUCUUACACCCAGAGUAGGUGAGUUCUGCUCUAGGAAAUCCCCAGCCAAGACAGGCACGGCAUGGGCUCAGCUCUCCUAUGCCACCCCUUCACCUUGACAUGGACAGGAAGGAGCACUCAAGUCCUCAUCCUCCAUCUUCCUGAACUCUUAGGGCCCACCACCAGGCUGCUCCCCCCUGGGCCCCACCAAGGCAGGAUCCCUAAACCUGGCCCAAGGCCCGGUUCCUUCCCAAGACCUCCCCUCUCCCCAUGUUGAGCCCCUCUGUCCCCCAACCCAACCAUCUCAAGGUUCUAAUCUGGGUGCCUGAGGCUCUUGCUCCCAGUUCCUGGCCCCAACCUAGGAACCCCACGCCCUCAGAGCCCAGCUCCUCUGCCUGCCCACCCUCCGAUUGCACAUCCUUCACCCAGAUCCUGGUGGCUCUCAGGAGGGCCCUGCCAGGGGCACCUUUUCCUGGGACAGAGCCCACAGGCUGAACUGGGCUGGGGUGAGUCUGUGGAGGAGAGGCAGCUCCUGCCAAGGCCCCUCCCAGGCCCCUGGCCACUGCCCCAGCAGACCCUGACCGAUGUCCUUGGCCUUGCGUGGCACCAGCCGCCGCUGCAGCUGCACCAUCUUGAUGGCGUCCAGGCGGAUUUCCACCAUGUUGCUGAAGAGUGCAAGCAGAGGCGCCAAGGGGAAGGCAGCCACGAAGAUGGUGGUGAACCCGUACUGGAUCACUGCAAUGGACGUGUCUGUCACCCUGGGCUCCGGGCUGCCUGCCCUGCUCUGGCCUUACCCACCCCACGCACUCAUCUCCAUGAACUCUUCGAACAGGGUGAAGGUGGUGACUGGGUUUAGGCGGUAGUUUCGCUGCCAGUCCCGGAGCUCAGGGUUGCCGGCCCAGCAGCCCCACAGCAUGCGCCACCUGUAGGCCAGCCACCUGUGGGCAGGGAGCGUGGUGGGCACAGACGGAGGGGCGAGGGACAGAGCGAGGAGCAAGUGGGCGUGGGGUGCUCACGGGCACAGAUACUCCAUGCAGUUGCUGAGCGUUUGCUUCAAGACCAUGAUGAUGGCCAUCUGCACAAACAGGUCCAUCAUGCAGCCGCUGAGAUGGCACUGUGGGGGCCAGAGAGCGUCAGCAUGGAGCUCAGGAGGCCACAUGGGGACAAGGCAGUAAGCCUCGUGGUGGACUGACCUCCUCCAGCUUCCACAGGCCAGCCAGGCGCGUGGACUUCCCAGGGUGACCGUUGAUCCUAGGGAGGAGGCAGGCCUGAGAAGGGGUGGGGCCAGUGUCCUGCCCUGUGGGCAGGGUUGCAGCAGCCAGGGAGGGUGGGGACAGGAAAGAAGCAGGGUGGGCGGGCAGGGGCAGCAGCCCACACCUGAUGCACCCACUGCCGGGGCUCACGCGCUGUGUGGACAGCUCAGCCUGCACAAGUAGCCAGCUGCCCACCGGCUCAGGCAGGCUCUGCACAGGGCUGCCCAGGCCUGGCCUCAGCCUGUUCCCAUGCACACACACUUAUUUCAGCCCUGAGACAGUCUGCUCCCUGUGCGUGACCAGAAGCCGAGCGAUCUGAGCCAGGUGUGGUGGCACACUCCUGUAACCCUAGCUACUUGGAAGGCUGAGGCAGGAGGCUCAGAAGUCAGAGGUAAGCCUGAGCAACUUGUCAAGACACUGGGUCAAAAAGUAAAAGGGCUAGAGGUGUAGUUCAGUGGUGGAGCACUUGGCUGGCAUGUGUGAGGUCCUGGGUUCACUCCCGAGUAUGGCAAACGCGCAUACAAUACGUAUGAAAUAUACAUAGGGAGGGCCGGGGAUUUAGCGCAGUGGUUCCGGCACCUGCCUCACAAGCACAAGGUCCAGAGUUCAAUCCCUGGUACCAGAAAAAAAACAUACACACGUGUCUAUAAACUAGCUUAAACAGAGGUAUGUAUUCAAUGGUGAAAUCCUGGAAGCAUCCCCAUUAUGGUCAUCAUGAUUUGGGGGGCAGUGCUGGAGAGGGAACCCAGGGUCUUUGCACUGAGUGACAUCCCUAGCCCCCCCUUAAUUUUUUGAGACACAGCCUUGCCAAGUCACUAAGCUGCCCAGGCUGGGUUCAAACUCGUCGUCCUCCUGCCUCAGGCUCUUGGAGCCCUGGGAUUACAGGACUGUGCUAUCAUGCCCAGCUUCAUGAAAACAAUUACUUAACAUGGUACUAGAAUUCCUGGCAAAGAGGCAAGAGAAAUAUAAGGCACAACUAACAUAAAUUUGCAAAGGAAAUUGUUACUGUUUUAGAAAAUAUGUUCUGUAGCUGGAAAAUCAAAAUAAAUUAAAUGAAACACUGCGUGGCUUAAAUCCCUUGACACUCAGAGCAGCUGCGGAGCUGGCGUCGAGCAGAGCUGGCUUCUGAGUGUCCAGCCAAAAUCCUAGGGAUGGUGCUUGAGAAAAUCCCAGUCACAGACGCCGCAACUGUUGUGAAAUGAGCAGAAUGAAAUGCAUGGGGCCUGUGGGACCCACACAGAGAAAACGUGAACCCUGCUGAAGAACAUGGGAGGACUGGAGCCAAGAACGCUGCCCCUACAGGAGGAGCCAGGGCUCACUGGAGGCAGGAAGGGUCCCAGUGCAGCACCACGCUGGCUCGCCGCCGCUUCCAGAACUCCAGGAACGCAGUGGCUGCAGUGGGGUGUGCAGGGCGUCACGGCGGGGUGGCCUGGAGCUCCGCCUGGCCAUCCCCCAGCUCUCGGCUGGCUCUGCAGCAACUCACCCCACAGAGCCAUGAAGAUGGCAAACAGCACAGUCCCCUCAUUGUCAAAGAGCCCCACAGAUCUCCUUGCUGGAGGCAGGGACGAGGAUGGCACCGGCUCUUCCCGGAUACCUUCCCCGGCUCUCCCCCAGGCCUGGCCCCUGGCCCACCUGAUCUGGCUGGAGUUAAACAGAGCAAAUCCACUCAGAAAGAUGAUGAGGCCCACCACGGCAGCAGGCACCAGCAUGGACAGAUGGCCUGUUAGGGGCACUAUCACCUGAUGGCAU